GCCUAGCCCUAAAUCUUGACACUUACACUACUAAAGUGUCCGCCCGAGAACUACGAGCACAAACGCUUAAAACUCUAAGGACUUGGCGGUGUCCCAAACCCACCUAGAGGAGCCUGUUCUAUAAUCGAUAACCCACGAUACACCCAACCGCCCCUUGCCAAAGCAGCCUACAUACCGCCGUCGUCAGCCCACCUCCCUUGAAAGAAUAACAGUGGGCACAAUAGUCCCUUCUCCCACUAACAAGACAGGUCAAGGUAUAGCUUAUGGGGCGGAAGAAAUGGGCUACAUUUUCUAAGUUAGAAAACCUAACGGAAAGGGGCGCGCAACCCCCCCUAGAAGGCGGAUUUAGCAGUAAAGUGAGACCAUAAAGCCCUCUUUAAACYGGCYCUGGGAYACGU
rnacentral:rRNA from 1 species